rnacentral:lncRNA from 1 species
GGUUUAGAGUUAAAGGGUGGGGUUUAGGGUUUAGGGUUUAGGGUUUAGGGUUUAGAGUUUAGGGUUUAGGGUUUAGAGUUUAGGGUUUAGGGUUUAGGGUUUAGAGUUUAGAGUUUAAGGUUUAGGGUUUAGAGUUGAGAAAUGAGGUUUUGGGGAUAAGAUUUCAAAUUUUGAAAAAUAAAAAAAUUAAAAAUUUCAAAGGAUAAACUUAGAAAGGUGCUAUUUUGGUCAUUUUAGUUUUGGAGUGCUAUUUUUGUGAUAUAAACUUAUAAAGGUGCUAUUUUGGAGAUUUGCCCUCAUAUUAUUUCGAAAUUCAAACCCUAAACCCUAAAACUAAACUCUAAACCCUAAACCAUCAAUCAUAACCCCAAUUUUUUCCGAAAUACGAACCCUAAACCCUAAACCAUCAAUCCUACACCCUUUUUUUUAAAAUACGAACCCUAAACCCUGAAACAUCAACUCUAAACCCUAAACCCCGAAACAUCAACUCUAAACCCUAAACUUUAAACUCUAAACCCUAAAACAUAGACUCUAAACCCUAAACCCUAAACUUCAACUCUAAACCCUAAACCAUCAACACUAAACCCUAAACCCUAAAAAGUAAACUCUAAACCCUAACCCCUAAAAAAUUAACCAUAAAACAUCAACUCUAAACCCUAAACCUUCAACCCUAAACCCUAAAUCCUAAACUCUAAACCCUAAAUCCUAAAUCCUAAAUCCUAAACCUUAAACCCUAAAACCCUAGAGUUGAUGUUUUAGGGUUUAGAUUUGAAGGUUUAGGGUUUACGUUUAGGGUUUAGAGUUGAUGUUUUAGGGUUUAUAUUUGAAGGUUUAGGGUUUAGGGUUUGGAGUUGAUGUUUCGGGGUUUAAGGUUUAGAGUUGAUGUUUCAUUGUUUAGGGUUUAGAGUUGAUGGUUUAGGGUUUAAAGUUGAUGUUUUCAGUUUAGAUUUAGGAUUAGGGUUUACGUUUAGGGUUUAGAGUUGAUGUUUUAGGGUUUAGAUUUGAAGGUUUAGGGUUUAGGGUAUAGAGUUGAUGUUUUGGGGUUUAGGAUUUAGAUUUGAUGUUUCAUGGUUUAAGGUUUAGAGUUGAUGAUUUAGGGUUUGGAGUUGAUGAUUUAGGGUUUGGAGUUGAUGAUUUAAGUUUAGAUUAGUUAUUUUUUUAUCAAAGUUAAUCAAAAGGUUAUAAAUUUCUUUUACCUUUCAUUAAAGAUGAGGGUAAAAGUGGUUAGUGUAAACAUGAAAAGUGGUAUUUUGAAAAUGGUAUUUUUGGCAAUUACCCUUAAAAUGACAUGUAUCAGUUCGAUGGUUGAUUUGAAACCUUUCAAAACCAUAUGGAAGAUAAAUGACAAAAUAAUUAAACUGUGGAAAUAAUACUGUUCACUUUUUUCAAGAAUGUGUUCGAUAGAAAAAAUAAGGUUUUUGUGUCAUAAUUUGUUUAAUGUCCUAUUAGAUCAACCCAUGAUAUAUUAAUUAUAGUUUUGUUCCAUAAUUUUUAAUAAAAAUUGAUAUGAUCCAUCAGAAAGAAAUUAUAUAAUAACAACAACAAAUAUUGUAUAUGUAUAAAUUAAAUGAUAAAUAUUUAAAAAAUUAUCGAUAAUAUAUACAAAUAAACACAAGUUUUA